rnacentral:lncRNA from 1 species
UCUCGUGCAUCUUAUUAGCAGCUCAUAAUACGGCCUUCCUCUGCAAGCGUGAACUAUGGGCAGAAGCUGUGCCUCUGAGGGAAGGAUGAGAAAUUAUAUCUUUAACGCAUUGGCCAUUCUGUUCGUAUUGGCCUAUUUUUUCAAGAAACAACCAAAUGAUGAACACAUUCUUGCUUCCCUUGGAUUUCCCGGGGCGACAGCGCUAGGACCGGCACUUCAGAGGCAGAAUACUAUCUCUCAGGAUGCUACAGGUCAUACGCAUCCACUAACUCGGCAACAACGUGUAGGAAGCAACGGCGAUCACUCUAAUAAUGCGGCAAGACGUUUCAGGAGGCAAAACGCUAUUCCCUAUGAUGAAGACGUAGUGAAGCAUACCAGAGGGCGCACCGAACGAGCUGCUCGUGGCAUCGAUCAUAAUGGACAAAGCGGAAGCAGGAAGAGGCGCAGAACAGGAUCGAAUUCAAGAAGACCCAGUAACAAGCGAAUGAGAGUAUAAGAACGGACGACCAGCGAACAACCGCCCUUUUGAAGACCCCCGGGUUCGGUGAGA